rnacentral:piRNA from 1 species
UGUAAUGGCAGUAGUGUCCUGAUGAGGU